rnacentral:rRNA from 1 species
GACGAACGCUGGCGGCGUGCUUAACACAUGCAAGUCGAACGGAAAGGCCCUGCUUUUGUGGGGUGCUCGAGUGGCGAACGGGUGAGUAACACGUGAGUAACCUGCCCUUGACUUUGGGAUAACUUCAGGAAACUGGGGCUAAUACCGGAUAGGAGCUCCUGCUGCAUGGUGGGGGUUGGAAAGUUUCGGCGGUUGGGGAUGGACUCGCGGCUUAUCAGCUUGUUGGUGGGGUAGUGGCUUACCAAGGCUUUGACGGGUAGCCGGCCUGAGAGGGUGACCGGCCACAUUGGGACGGGGAUACGGCCCAGACUCCUACAGGAGGCAGCAGUGGGGAAUAUUGCACAAGGGGCGGAAGCAUGAUGCAGCAACGCAACGUGCGGGAUGACGGCCUUCGGGUUGUAAACCGCUUUCGCCUGUGACGAAGCGUGAGUGACGGUAAUGGGUAAAGAAGCACCGGCUAACUACGUG